AAGGAGGAUGGAAAGCGAACGGGGGUUUUGUGGGUGGACUGAAGGGAGGGGGAAGAAUCUUGAUGCUUCAGUCCCCGCCUCCCCCUUCCUUUUCCCUCCGUCCUCCCAGCAGCCACCCUCCAAGGACGCCUGGCAUUCGCCUGGCAUUCGCAGGCCUGCCUGCCGAGCCUCCAACUGGGGAGGGGGCCCUGGGGGACCAUCGCUCUGUGGUCUGGGCGGAUCUGCUGGAGGGUUUGUUUCGGGGAAGUGCUCUGUGGUGGUGCUUCCCACAGGGUGUGGAGGUGCCAGGAUUGGUGCCAUGGCAGGGCCCAGCAUAGGGCUGGGAAUGGGGUGGUUGGCAUCGCCCUGCCCCUGCCAGGAAAUGCCUCCUUGCCCCUAAUGCUGUAGGCCUUGGUGCCCAUGCCCCUGCCCCAGGGCCGGACAGGGACAAGGACACUCAAACCACCUUUGGCUGAUCUGGCUGUGCCUUAUUCUCUGAACCCCAAGUCUCAGGACGGUGUCAAAUCCCCCUGCCCUGGAGUCUGAAGGGCAAGAUGGGGCAAAGAACCUUCAAGAGGGUUGUCCGAUUCCUCCAAAGUGUUGAUGUCUAGGCAAGGACUUCAGCUCUCCAGCAGUUGAAAGCAUGAGACAGGCUGUGCUCAGAGACAGGAGGUGGGGGACAGUGUGGACGCAGCACAGCCCACAGCCCAUCACCCUGGUCGCUGUCAGCCCCCUCCCUCCCUGGGAGUUUCGGCCGGCUCCCCCACGCAGCCUGCUCACCCUCGCUCACAAAGCUUGGUGCAGCUCCGCCACGACGGAUGGGGACAUGGGGAAAAAUAGGUCACCCUGAUCACCCCGCCCUCUCCCUCUGGCGGGGACCCCCAGCAGCGUCGUCAUGAAAUCUCUUCUCAACAGUCCUCUGGGAUGGCAGGAGCGACGCCACAAAGACGCCCCACUGACUCACACAGCCCCUUCCCUGGCCCCAGGCCCAUCCCCAGCAGGGGCCUGGCCCCCAGGAGGCCCAGUAAGCUGGCACCAAGAGGCAGUUUCUUUCCCAGGACUUGGUGUGGGGUGGGGGCAGGAGGAUGGGACAGAGAGAUGGCUCUGGGGUUCUGGGUCCGGUGCAUUCCCUUCUGCACCACGGAGAACAGGCUGGGCAGGGUCCCCUCAGCUGGAAGGUGGUUGGCGACCUCCCAGGACCACCUAGGCUGUGAAAUGAGCUCAGCUUCAGGAGUGUGUCCUGGAGGUUGGGUCCGUGAACAGUGACAGCCUGGAUGCCAGGCCUCUGUCGUAACCCAGGGGGGCGGGGGGAGCACAGGAGUCAAAAGGUGUCAGUCCCUGACUUCUGUGCCUGGCCAGGACAUUUGAGUUCUAGGCUUAGUUCCACUGGGUAGGACCUUAGGUAGGAGGACUCAAUGGACGUGGACGCAGACAAUUUUAAAUGAUCAGUGAGACUGGAGGGGACACUGCACAUGGAGCAGGCCUGAGGGGGAGGGGUCUUGGUAUCUUGGAUUCAGAGGAAGGUCCUGCUGGACUCCAGGCAGAAAAGGGCAUGGGUGGCUCACAAAUGGGGUCAGAGAAGCACUGAUGUCACUGUAGACAGCUUGUCACAGCUCCAGGGUCUGCUCAGCUGCCCUCAGUGUCCGUCCAGAGGAAGUGACCAGAUCUGCAGUUCUGGAACUUGCCUUUCUGACCUAAAGCCACACAGCUACCAGGGUAAGGGGUGAAGAUGCAGCAGGCCUUCUCAGAAGAGCUAUCCAAAAAAGGGCCAAGCCUAGACAGAGUUCCCACUGUGGCAUAGUUGGUUAAGGAUCUAACGUCAUCUCUGCAGCAGCUUGGGGUGCUGCCGAGGCACAGGUUUGAUCCCUGGCUGGGUGCAGUGGAUUCAGGGUCUGGCUUGAAUUUAAUCACUGGCUCAGGAAUUUCCAUUUGCCUUGGGCACAAAAAAAGGUGGGGGGGUGGGCCAAACCUGCUGGUCACCCAUGCCUGCCCAUUCUCCAGCCCUCUCAGGGGACCAGAGAACAUCUCCCCUCUUCUUGGCCAUUGCCCUGAAGCCUCUCCAUCUGCCUGGAGGACUCCAGGGUGAGGGCAGCAUCCCCCUCACAGAACCAAGCAGCCUCCCAAGGAGCAAAGCCCAGAAGAGACUAGAGAUGGAGGUGGGAUAAAUGGAGGGCAGCGAUCAAGGAAAGGCAGGGCAGAAACAGAAGCCAGCAGUGGGAACCUAAGCUUGUCAGGGGAAGGAUGCGCUGUAAGGCUCAGAGCGUGGUGAAGCUGUGCACCGGCUCUCUAUGGCAGUUACCUGCACCUGCUGGGGACACCAGGUGACUGAGGAGGUAGGGCUUAUUAUGUUGGAGACUGGAAGCCUGGAGCUCAGCACCGGGGCGUCCAUGGCCUGCACAACCACAGAACCACAGCACCAGUCUGUCCAGGAGUCAGGACAAGUGGAGUUCCUGACUCCGCUUCCAUGCCCAGUGCACUCCCCCACCCAGGGGCCGUCACAGCCCCUACUCCCACGGCCUUGAAGUAGAGGCAGCUCGGGAAUGGCACCGUUUGGGCUGCCUGCCUACGGGGAUCCCCAGUGUCCCCCACGGAUGGCGUUCACUGACACCGCAGAACCAUCCAUUCGUCUUUUCACCUUUCUCUGCAGGCAGGCUCCGGCCUUUCCCAAACGACCCUACAGCCUGGGCUUGCGCAGCUCUGAAGCCGGUGUGGAAAUACACGCCCUGUGUAAACCAUCAGCGGGGCCUUGCUUCUCUCCCUGAAAGCUCCAGCCUUGGCCUAGAAGCUUCAGCGGGACCGACGACUUGGGACACUCCCCGAGGUUUGGGGCCGGCCCAGGGAGCGCCGCCCUCCCGGUUAUCCGGCUCAGUGCCUCUUAGGCGGCCAGCGAAUUGCAAAGCUAGGGGACAGACUGGACGGCCCCCGGCAGAGCCGGAAGAAAAGGCCGGGCAAUUCUCUGGCCCUCUGGGAGCCAAGCGCGGAGGGCGCGAGGGUGGCUGACACCUCCAGGACGCGACCGGGGUCCAGACCGGGGAAAGGCGCUCUCGGCAAAGGGCGGCCCAGGGCUGGAGAGAAGCGCGGUGCGCCAGGCUCCUGGGCGCGCAACUGCCCGGCCUCGGAGGCAUCGUGCUGCAGAUGGGGCGCAGCUGCGCGCUCACUGGUCUGAACUGGAAACGCUCGGAGCUCGUUAUUUUAAAAGCCGGGCAUUCGGCGGCUUCCCCCUUUGACCAACAUUCCCCACGAAGCCGACUGCGCGGCCAGAGUCCCCAGGGCCGUCCCUCCCUAGCAGCCCAGCUCCGCCGGGGGGACGCAGGCCGCCCGCCCGCCCGCCGAGUUCCGGCCAGAGCACGGGGGACGCCGGCCGCGGCCGGGGUCUCUACCCGGGCUCGGCUCGCACCCGCCGCGCCUGCUUUUCGUUCGGUCUGUCCUCCGCUCAACUCAAUCGUUGGAUUGCCUUCUCCCACUCGUUCCCAUUUGGCUAUUUUCUGCUCGUUCAGGAGGUCCCUUUUUUCUUUCGUUUCGGCUGCUGCUUCCCUCUUCGUCCGUUUCUCCCCUCUCCAUUUACCCGCUUCGUUCGAUCCUCCGAUCCUCCGCUUGCCUUUUUCCCUCCCGUUCGUUCUUCAUUCCUUUCCGUUCUGCCCGGCACGCCGACGGCCUUUCACCUCUCCUUCUCGCCUCUCUUCUCUGUGGUUUUGUCCAAUUUCCUUUCCCUUCUUUUCGGUUGUUGUUUACAAACGCUUUGCUUUUCUUUCCACACAUUUCGUUGUUGACACCCUCGCCGUCGCCGGGUUCCUCCGCACCGCUCAUUGGACUCCAGCGCUCUGCGCGGUUGGCUCGGCAUCUGAGACUGUCGCGGUCCCGGCGCCCUGGCGGUCCGUGCAGGGUCCUUUGCGUCCAGCAGGGACGCGGACCCGCGGGGUGGGUCCUGUCUGACGCGGCGCGCGCGCGGAGGCAGCCCGGGUACCUGUCCCCGGCGGUGCUCACGGCGCUGCGCGGCCGCCGCCGUCUGGCUGGGAUCAGAGGAGCCAGGCCAACUGCUUCUCAUUAAGUCCCAACUGUGGUUUUUAUCAGGAGAGCCUCUUUCAAAUGGCACAGACACGAAGCUCCGUAGACUCGCUCAUUUCCUCCGCUGACCCCCACACACCUCCCUGGCCUCUCCUACACAUUCCCACCGCCCCGGCUGCGCGAAGGCGGGAGCUGCCUGGCCACUCCACGGAGGCCCGCGAGGCGCCUGCGGGGCGGCUCUCGGAGGAUCCAGCUCUGGGCCUAAGCUGCGGGAUGUGGCAGCAAAAACGAGGCUGGCGCCCACACUGCCGCAGCUCGGCCAGGGCAGUGGGCGGCGGCCGGGUGGCGGACCCGCGCGCCAGGCCCCGGCGUCCAGGCGCGUUCGUGGGAGACGGCGCGGUCCAACUGGCCUACGCGAGCCGUCGGCGCUCAGGGGGUUAGGCCCGCUCCCGGCGGCCCGCGGUGACAAUCCGGCGCGAGGAAGCCAGGACUGCGAGAAGGGCGGCCAUCGCCGUGCAUAACGACGGGGAGGCCAGUGUGACGUUGGCAGCUGCAGCUUCUUGGAAUAAUAUUAAUAACAGUGACUAGAAUUUACGGCGUGAUGACGACCUAGCAAACACUGUUUGAUGGGCCUCACGUGUAUUAACUCACUCAAUCCUCAUAAGAACUCUUUGCAACGUCAUGUGAGGCCCCUGAUGUACCAGGCUCUAUGCCCUGGAGGCGGGGAUACGAAGACAGAUGAGACGCAUUCCCUGCUUCUUGGAGUCAGUGAUGGAGACCCAGACACGUGCAGGUGCCUCAACACAGGUACCGUUCAAGGGGAGUAAUGGUUGCACAGAGGGAGGUGGGAUUACCUCCCCCCAGGACUGGGGAAAGCAGGGAAGGCUUCACGGAGGAGGAAGUUUUUCACUAGCAUUUUGAAGGGUGAGUUGAAGAGUUCAAAUGAAACAGGCAGGAAGAGGGAAUGACAGGUGGGUGUGGCGGGCACGGAGGGUGCAAAGUGGGGACUGCUGGGUGGAAGCAGGGCCAGGUUGAGAUGCCCUUGGAUGCCAGGCUGAGGAGCUGCUUCUGAGUCCAAGAGUAAAUGGAUGAAACUGGCUGGUGUCACUCGGAGGAGUGGCUCUUUGGCCGUGGCAGGAAUGGAGUUGAGGGGGCAGGGCUGGAAGGAGGCGAUGCACUGAGUGUUCCGAGCCACAGGCUGGAGGGAGGGGAGAGUCUGAGCGGGGCUGUGGGUCAGUGGAGAUGCAGAGGAGGGGUGGGUUUUGGAGGCGUUUUCAAGGAAGAACAGAAAUAAUAUGAGGGCUCAUUUGGUCCAGGAAGGGAGAGGAGGAGGGAAGCGGGGGAGGGGCAGCUGAUUGGGCAGCAGCACCCUGGGCGGUGAGAAAAGGCAGGAUUCCUGAAUUUGCUUUGUUUCUUUUCUUUUUCUUCUUCUUUUUUUUUUUUUUUUUUUUGCUUUUUAGGGCUGUACUCACGGC